rnacentral:rRNA from 1 species
GAAGCACCGGCUAACUCCGUGCCAGCAGCCGCGGUAAUACGGAGGGUGCGAGCGUUAAUCGGAAUUACUGGGCGUAAAGCGUACGCACGCGGUUUGUUAAGCGAGAUGUGAAAGCCCCGGGCUCAACCUGGGAACUGCAUUUCGAACUGGCAAACUAGAGUGUGAUAGAGGGUGGUAGAAUUUCAGGUGUAGCGGUGAAAUGCGUAGAGAUCUGAAGGAAUACCGAUGGCGAAGGCAGCCACCUGGGUCAACACUGACGCUCAUGUACGAAAGCGUGGGGAGCAAACAGGAUUAGAUACCCUGGUAGUCCACGCCGUAAACGAUGUCUACUAGAAGCUCGGAACUUCGGUUCUGUUUUUCAAAGCUAACGCAUUAAGUAGACCGCCUGGGGAGUACGGCCGCAAGGUUAAAACUCAAAUGAAUUGACGGGGGCCCGCACAAGCGGUGGAGCAUGUGGUUUAAUUCGAUGCAACGCGAAGAACCUUACCUACACUUGACAUACAGAGAACUUACCAGAGAUGGU